CCAGAGAACUUAGCAGAGAUGCUUUGGUGCCUUCGGGAACUCUGAGACAGGCGCUGCAUGGCUGUCGUCAGCUCGUGUUGUGAAAUGUUGGGUUAAGUCCCGCAACGAGCGCAACCCCUAUCCUUUGUUGCCAGCGAUUCGGUCGGGAACUCAAAGGAGACUGCCGGUGAUAAACCGGAGGAAGGUGGGGAUGACGUCAAGUCAUCAUGGCCUUUACGAGUAGGGCUACACACGUGCUACAAUGGCGCAUACAAAGAGAAGCGACCUCGCGAGAGCAAGCGGACCUCAUAAAGUGCGUCGUAGUCCGGAUUGGAGUCUGCAACUCGACUCCAUGAAGUCGGAAUCGCUAGUAAUCGUAGAUCAGAAUGCUACGGUGAAUACGUUCCCGGGCCUUGUACACACCGCCCGUCACACCAUGGGAGUGGGUUGCAAAAGAAGUAGAUAGCUUAACCUUCGGGAGGGCGUUUACCACUUUGUGAUUCAUGACUGGGGUGAAGUCGUAACAAGGUAAGCGUAGCGAG
rnacentral:rRNA from 1 species